ACAUGCCUACAACAUAGUGUUAAUGCAUCGGAUCACAUUAGAACUCCACAGUUAAGUGCGCUCAAGAUAAAGUAGUACCAAGAUGGGUGACCACCCAGGAAGUCUUAGUGUUUUACAUGCC
rnacentral:rRNA from 1 species